rnacentral:rRNA from 1 species
AUUGAACGCUGGCGGCAUGCUUUACACAUGCAAGUCGAACGGUAACAGGCCUUCUGGUGCUGACGAGUGGCGCACGGGGGAGUAAUGCAUCGGAACGUACCCAGAGGUGGGGGAUAACGCAGCGAAAGCUGUGCUAAUACCGCAUGUGAUCUGAGGAUGAAAGCGGGGGACCGCGCAGCAAUGUUUGGCCUCGCGCCUUUGGAGCGGCCGAUGUCGGAUUAGCUAGUUGGUGGGGUAAAGGCCUACCAAGGCGACGAUCCGUAACUGGUCUGAGAGGACGACCAGCCACACUGGGACUGAGACACGGCCCAGACUCCUACGGGAGGCAGCAGUGGGGAAUUUUGGACAAUGGGCGCAAGCCUGAUCCAGCAAUGCCGCGUGCGGGAAGAAGGCCUUCGGGUUGUAAACCGCUUUUGGCAGGAACGAAACGGUGUCCGCUAAUACCGGGCGCUAAUGACGGUACCUGCAGAAUAAGCACCGGCUAACUACGUG